rnacentral:rRNA from 1 species
CCUACGGGAGGCAGCAGUGGGGAAUAUUGCACAAUGGGGGAAACCCUGAUGCAGCGACGCCGCGUGAGUGAAGGAGUAUUUCGGUACGUAAAGCUCUAUCAGCAGGGAAGAAAAUGACGGUACCUGACUAAGAAGCCCCGGCUAACUACGUGCCAGCAGCCGCGGUAAUACGUAGGGGGCAAGCGUUAUCCGGAUUUACUGGGUGUAAAGGGAGCGUAGACGGCAGCGCAAGUCUGGAGUGAAAUCCCAUGGCUUAACCAUGGAACUGCUUUGGAAACUGUGCAGCUAGAGUGCAGGAGAGGUAAGCGGAAUUCGUGGUGUAGCGGUGAAAUGCGUAGAUAUUAGGAGGAACACCAGUGGCGAAGGCGGCUUACUGGACUGUAACUGACGUUGAGGCUCGAAAGCGUGGGGAGCAAACAGGAUUAGAUACCCCUGUAGUC